rnacentral:rRNA from 1 species
UACGGAGGGUGCAAGCGUUAUCCGGAUUUACUGGGUUUAAAGGGUGCGUAGGCGGGUUGUUAAGUCAGUGGUGAAAGAUUCGAGCUCAACUCGGAAACUGCCAUUGAUACUGAUGACCUUGAAUACAGUUGAGGUAGGCGGGAAUGUGUCAUGUAGCGGUGAAAUGCUUAGAUAUGACACAGAACACCGAUUGCGAAGGCAGCUUGCUAAACUGUGAUUGACGCUGAGGCACGAAAGCGUGGGGAUCAAACAGG